AUAAAUGCUCUUAACAAAAUGCAGAACUAGUUAAGAAUGUCAAUUAUUAGUAAUUGACAUUCUGAGUAAUUAAAUGAGCAGGUGUUUGAAAAAUAUAGCCAUGUCUUAAGAUUUAAUUUUAGAGCAGUUUUAUGUUUACACAGAAAUUGCAAAGAAAAUGCAGAGAUCUAUUAUGUAACUUCUACCCAGUUUUUUUUCUCUUAUGACUUAUGUGAGCUAUCUCAGAUAUGUUAACUUCAUACAUGAUUUUUCAUGACAAACAGAUACUGAUAUGCUCUUAUUAACUAAUGUCUGUGUUUCCUUUGAAUUCUCAGUACAGACUCUUUCAGUUCCAGGACCCCAUCCAAGAUCCCGCAAGACUGUCAUCCUUUCUCCAUAGGCUUUUCUUCGUAGCGACAGUUUCUCUGACCUUCCUUUCUCUGAUGCCCUUGAUGUUUGAGGAGGACUUGACAGUUGAGGAGUACCUAUCAGGUUACUGUGUAGCCCUUCACCACUUCCUCUCAUGACAAAACUGUCCUUCCCAAAGAUGCUCAGCCAGCUUCAACUCAACUGUGUUCCUGAGACUCUGACCUAUUCUAGAAGUUGUUUAAGAUUCUCCAUGUCUUCUAAUGACUUCUCCAUGUAAUUGGCUUUUUAGGUUUGUCCUACUUCCUUUAUCUCCCUGCUCCUCUGGAAUGACAGGUCAGUGUCAUCUUGGGAUGACAGGUCAGUGCACCAUGGCCUGCUUGGGGCAGUGAUCCACCCCACCUCAGACCCCCAAUGCCAGCUUGGCAGACUCUUUGAGGCUGUGGCCCAUGCUUGGCACCUGUGUUCCAGCCUGCCCAGGUUGUUGUUUCUCUGCUUUGCUCUGCUGCUUGGCUGCUGCUUCUCAACAGAGACUAGUGCACCAGCUGCAUGGCUUGGCAGCUGAAAAGCUGUGUCGCUGGCCUGUAAUACUAAUAGGAUAUCUGUACUGUACCAUACACACUUAAUAUAGUAAUUGCUCUGCAGCCUUGAAUAUUAAUAUAAUAUCAAUGUUGUGGCCUUCAAAUCUGAAAUAACAAUGGCCCUGAGGCUGUUUAAUUCUAAUAUGAUAUCCAAAUUAUAGCAUCUAAAACUAAAAUAAUAUUUGGCUUAUGGUCUCUAUACUAAUAAGAUAUUUAUGCUAUGUGAUCUAAAAUUAAUAUAAUAGCUACCCUGUGGCCUUUAAUAUUAUUUUAAUAUUCAUACUAUAGCAUGUAAAAGUAAUUUAAUAAUUGCCUUGUGACCUUUAUUAUUAAUGUAAACAUAUAUAAUAGCUGCCUUUUGGCUUUUAAUUCUAAUCUGAUAUACAUAUUAUGGCACCUAAAAUUAAUAACAUAUGUUCCCUGUGGCCUUUGAUAUUUAUAUAAUAUCCAUACUCUGGCCUCAAAUCCUAAUAUAAUAGUUUAGAAUAUUCAUAUUGUGACCUCUAAAAUACAAGAGUAGUCCCUGUGGUCUUUAUUACUGAUAUGAUAUUUAUGUUAGAGCAUGGAAAUGUGAUAAUAGAUGUGAUCUUUAAUAUUAAUAUGAUUUCUAGACUAUAGAAUUGAAAAUUCGUAUCAGAGCUGCACUGUGGUAUUUAAUACUAAUAUGAUGAUAUCCAUAGUACAUAUUUAAAACUAAUAUAAUGUUGCUCUGUGGUCUUAAUAUUAAUGUGACAUCCCUACUGUGUACUCUAAGACUAGUGUAAUAGCUUCCCUGUAUCUUUUAUUACUAAUAUAAUAUCCAUUCUAUAGCAUCUAAAAGAAUAGCUGCCCUGUAGCCAUUUAUAUUAAUAUAAUAGCCAAAAUAUAACAUCUCGAACUGAUAUAAUCUUUGUCUCAUGGCCUUUAAUAAAAAACUAAUCUAAAACUAAUAUAAUGUAUGCCCUGUGCCCUUUAAUAUUGACAUGUUAUUUGUAUUAUGGCAUCCAAUACUAAUAUAAUGGUUGCCCUGUGGCAUUUAUAAUUGAUAUAAUAUCAGUAAUAUAGAUUCUAGCCAAGUGCAGUGGUGUAUGCCUCUUAGCAACUCAGCAAGACCUCAUUUUUAAAUAAAAUAUAAAAAAGAGCUGGGGAUGUUGCUCAGUGGUUAGUUUCCCCUGGAUUCAAUUCAAUCACUGGUACAAAUAUAUAUAUAUAUAUAAUUUUUUCCCCUAAAACUAAUGUAAUAGAUGCUGUAUGGCCUUUAAUUUUAAUACAAUACCAUAUUAUUGCAUCUAACACUAAUAUAAUAGCUGAUCUGUGAUUUUUAACUAACAUGACAUCCAUAUUGAUAGCAUUGAAGACUGAUAUAUUAAUUUCCUGUGACUUUUAAUAUUAAUAAAACAUUAUUAGUAUAACAUCUAAUACUAAUACAAUAGCUGUACUAUGGCAUUUAAUAUUACAAUGAUAUUUUACUAUAGCUUCUAAAACUAAAAUAAUAGGUGAACUUUGUUUGGCCUUCUUUACUGAUGUAAUAUACAUGCCAUUUUACAUUAAUUAAGUAAGUACCCUAUGACCUUCAGUGUUAAUUUAAUAAUAACUAUACUAAAGUGUCUAACACUAGUAUAAAGCUUCCCUUUAACUCUAACAUAAUAUCUAUAUUAUAAUGUGUAAAACUAAUACGUCUGGCCUUUAAUACUAAUAUGAUUCCAUACUGUACUAUCUAGUAAUAAUAUAAUAGAUUUUCUGUAGUGUUAAUUCUCAAAAUCUAUAGUUUUGUAUUUUAAAACUAAUAACUUUCCUGUGGUCUUUAAGAGUAACAUAAUAUCCAUAGUGUAUUUCUGAUACUCAUGUAAUAGCUAUCCUGUGUCCUUGAACAUUACUAUAAUAUCCAUAUUAUUGCAUCUGAGACAGCUGACUGUGGAUUUCAUUUCUAAUAUAAUAGUCAUAUUAAAAAAUGACUAUUAAAAAUCAUCUAAAAUUAAUACAAUAGCAGCCCUGUGCCUUUACUAGUAACACUUCAGCAUCUAAAACUAAUGUAAUAGGUGUCCUAUGACCUUAAAUAUUAAUGUGAUAUCUAUGCUAGAGCCUCUGAAACUGAUAGAAUAGUUGCCUUGUGACCUUUAAUAUUCAUAUCAAUACUGUAGCUUCUAAAAUAAAAAAAAAGAUAAUAGCUGCACUCUGGUGACUCUAAUUAAUAUAUUCCCUAUAUUAGAGAUUCUAAAACUAAUACAGUUUGUUCCCUGUAACCUUAAACACUACUAUAAUAUCCAUACUGUACAAUCUACAACUAAUAUGAUAUUGCUUUGAGGAUUUUAAUUUUAAUAUCAUAUCUGUACUAUAACAUCUAAAACAAAUAUAAUAGCUGCCCUAAUACAAUUAAUACUAACAUGCUAUCCAUACAGUAGCAAAAAUAACACUGAUAUAUUAAUGUCCUGUGUCUUUUAUACUGAUGUAACAUCUUUAAUAUAGUGUCUAAUACUAAUGUAAUAACUGUCCUGUGGCCUUUAAUACUAAUAUGAUGUAGAUAUUAUAGUAACAAAAAUUAAUAUAACUGCCUGUUAUUAUUAAAACAAUAUCCCUACUGUGGCGUAUAAAACAGGCCUCUCAACUCCCGUGUUUUCUUUUACCAAUUGUUCUCAUUUUCUGUAUAUUCCUCUACCAGUUCUUUUCUCAUCUCCCUGUGUAUUAUAUUAACAAUACCUAUCCUGAAGGCUCUUACAUUAAUAUAAUACCCAUAGUGUAGCCUCCAGAAUCAAUGUAAUUACUUUAAUCUCACUUUUCAUGCUAACAUGAUAUCCACAUAUAGCAUCUAAAACUAAUACAAUAGCUGAAGUUUGGCCUUUAAAACUAUUAUAAUAUACAAAGUAUGAUAUAUAUUUUAAUUUAUUUUUUAGUUGUAGUUGGACUCAAUACCUUUAUUUUACUUAUUUAUUUUUAUGUGGUGCUGAGGAUUGAACCCAGGGCCUCGCACAUGCUAUGCCAGCGUUCUACCACUGAGCCACAAUUCUAGCCCCAUAGCAUGGGAUAUCUUAAAUAAAUAGGUGAAUUUAAUACUAAUGAGAUAUCAAAACUACAGCAUCUGAAACUAAUAUAAUAAUUGCCCUGGGGCAAUUAAAGCUAAUAUGAUAUUUAUAAUAUAGCAUUCAAAUAAAAUAAAGAGCCAGCCAGUAGACAUUAAUGUUAUUGUGAUGUCCAUAGACAACAUCUAAAAUUAAUAUUUUAAUAAACUCAAACUGUGUAUUUUAAUAUUAAUAAACUCAA